UUAAGCGACUAAGCGUACACGGUGGAUGCCCUGGCAGUCAGAGGCGAUGAAGGACGUGCUAAUCUGCGAAAAGCGCCGGCGAGGUGAUAUGAACCUUUGACCCGGCGAUGUCCGAAUGGGGAAACCCAGUGCAAUCCGUUGCACUAUCGUUAACUGAAUACAUAGGUUAACGAGGCGAACCGGGGGAACUGAAACAUCUAAGUACCCCGAGGAAAAGAAAUCAACCGAGAUUCCCCCAGUAGCGGCGAGCGAACGGGGAGCAGCCCGGAGUCUGAAUCAGCUUGUGUGUUAGUGGAACGGUCUGGAAAGUCCGACGGUACAGGGUGAUAGUCCCGUACACGAAAGCACACAUGCUGUGAACUCGAAGAGUAGGGCGGGACACGUGGUAUCCUGUCUGAAUAUGGGGGGACCAUCCUCCAAGGCUAAAUACUCCUGACUGACCGAUAGUGAACCAGUACCGUGAGGGAAAGGCGAAAAGAACCCCGGCGAGGGGAGUGAAAAAGAACCUGAAACCGUGUACGUACAAGCAGUGGGAGCCUCUUUAUGGGGUGACUGCGUACCUUUUGUAUAAUGGGUCAGCGACUUAUAUUCUGUAGCAAGGUUAACCGUAUAGGGGAGCCGAAGGGAAACCGAGUCUUAACUGGGCGUUAAGUUGCAGGGUAUAGACCCGAAACCCGGUGAUCUAGCCAUGGGCAGGUUGAAGGUUGGGUAACACUAACUGGAGGACCGAACCGACUAAUGUUGAAAAAUUAGCGGAUGACCUGUGGCUGGGGGUGAAAGGCCAAUCAAACCGGGAGAUAGCUGGUUCUCCCCGAAAGCUAUUUAGGUAGCGCCUCGUGAACUCAUCUUCGGGGGUAGAGCACUGUUUCGGCUAGGGGGCCAUCCCGGCUUACCAACCCGAUGCAAACUACGAAUACCGAAGAAUGUUAUCACGGGAGACACACGGCGGGUGCUAACGUCCGUCGUGAAGAGGGAAACAACCCAGACCGCCAGCUAAGGUCCCAAAGUCAUGGUUAAGUGGGAAACGAUGUGGGAAGGCACAGACAGCCAGGAUGUUGGCUUAGAAGCAGCCAUCAUUUAAAGAAAGCGUAAUAGCUCACUGGUCGAGUCGGCCUGCGCGGAAGAUGUAACGGGGCUAAACCAUGCACCGAAGCUGCGGCAGCGACNUGCUGGAGGUAUCAGAAGUGCGAAUGCUGACAUAAGUAACGAUAAAGCGGGUGAAAAGCCCGCUCGCCGGAAGACCAAGGGUUCCUGUCCAACGUUAAUCGGGGCAGGGUGAGUCGACCCCUAAGGCGAGGCCGAAAGGCGUAGUCGAUGGGAAACAGGUUAAUAUUCCUGUACUUGGUGUUACUGCGAAGGGGGGACGGAGAAGGCUAUGUCAGCCGGGCGACGGUUGUCCCGGUUUAAGCAUGUAGGCGGAGGUUCCAGGUAAAUCCGGUACCUUGUUAACGCUGAGGUGUGAUGACGAGGCACUACGGUGCUGAAGUGAUAAAUGCCCUGCUUCCAGGAAAAGCCUCUAAGCAUCAGGUAACACGAAAUCGUACCCCAAACCGACACAGGUGGUCAGGUAGAGAAUACCAAGGCGCUUGAGAGAACUCGGGUGAAGGAACUAGGCAAAAUGGUGCCGUAACUUCGGGAGAAGGCACGCUGAUAUGUAGGUGAAGUCCCUGCGGACGGAGCUGAAAUCAGUCGAAGAUACCAGCUGGCUGCAACUGUUUAUUAAAAACACAGCACUGUGCAAACACGAAAGUGGACGUAUACGGUGUGACGCCUGCCCGGUGCCGGAAGGUUAAUUGAUGGGGUUAGCGGCAACGCGAAGCUCUUGAUCGAAGCCCCGGUAAACGGCGGCCGUAACUAUAACGGUCCUAAGGUAGCGAAAUUCCUUGUCGGGUAAGUUCCGACCUGCACGAAUGGCGUAAUGAUGGCCAGGCUGUCUCCACCCGAGACUCAGUGAAAUUGAACUCGCUGUGAAGAUGCAGUGUACCCGCGGCAAGACGGAAAGACCCCGUGAACCUUUACUAUAGCUUGACACUGAACACUGGUCCUUGAUGUGUAGGAUAGGUGGGAGGCUUUGAAGCGUGGACGCCAGUCUGCGUGGAGCCAACCUUGAAAUACCACCCUUUAAUGGCUGGUGUUCUAACGUAGACCCGUAAUCCGGGUUGCGGACAGUGUCUGGUGGGUAGUUUGACUGGGGCGGUCUCCUCCCAAAGAGUAACGGAGGAGCACGAAGGUUGGCUAAUCCUGGUCGGACAUCAGGAGGUUAGUGCAAUGGCAUAAGCCAGCUUGACUGCGAGCGUGACGGCGCGAGCAGGUGCGAAAGCAGGUCAUAGUGAUCCGGUGGUUCUGAAUGGAAGGGCCAUCGCUCAACGGAUAAAAGGUACUCCGGGGAUAACAGGCUGAUACCGCCCAAGAGUUCAUAUCGACGGCGGUGUUUGGCACCUCGAUGUCGGCUCAUCACAUCCUGGGGCUGAAGUAGGUCCCAAGGGUAUGGCUGUUCGCCAUUUAAAGUGGUACGCGAGCUGGGUUUAGAACGUCGUGAGACAGUUCGGUCCCUAUCUGCCGUGGGCGCUGGAGAAUUGAGGGGGGCUGCUCCUAGUACGAGAGGACCGGAGUGGACGCAUCACUGGUGUUCGGGUUGUCAUGCCAAUGGCACUGCCCGGUAGCUAAAUGCGGAAAAGAUAAGUGCUGAAAGCAUCUAAGCACGAAACUUGCCCCGAGAUGAGUUCUCCCUGAGAC
rnacentral:rRNA from 2 species